UUCACUAAGAUAUGCAGGGAUGUCAAGUAUUCACUUGUAAACUGAAGCUUUGCACUUUUCUCUUUACUUAAACCCUCUGAAAUGCAAACACUCUCAGCUUUGACUGGAAUCUCCUAUUUGAGAGACAUGCACAGACUCAAAAAUGACCAUACAGCUUAAAGGAACUGAGGUUGACUUUAUGAAACAUCGACCCUUUGGAAAUGUUGGCCGGAUACCUUGUUUACAGAAUUCCCAUCAGCCUCACCAGACUCCGUCAGGACAAUCGUUUGAAACCCACAGAUGAGCCUUACUACUCAAGAAAACCCACCUUGGAUUCAGCUGCCUCCCACUUUUCUAUGUGCAGGAUAUAGCCCAUUCAAGGACUAGUACACCAGAGCCACUUUCCAAAUACCUGAAGAACUGAUAGAGACAACAGAGGACAGAGAAAAUGCCAUGUGAUGACCCAGGAAGAGCACCACAAUUGGCGCACAAUUGGUGAGAGACUUCAGGAGAAAUCAAACCAGGGAACACCUUGAACAUGGACGGCAGAACUGUGAGAAAAUAAACACUUUUUUUGAUGUAGCCUCCCACCGUGUGGUAUUAUGUUAUGGUAACCCUAGCAAAGAAGCACAAUCCUCAGGGACUCUGUCUCCCAAGUCUGUCCUCCCCUACAAAACAAAUAUUGAAUAUUAUUUUUGCUAUACCUGUGAUGUUUUUUUCUCAAACUGAAAAGUCUUUUUGAAUAUAAUUCAGAAGCAAAAAGCGUACUGAUGUAGGUCUUCCAUAAAAGCAAAGAGGCAUAAUGAGAACUUCUGAAAGGUGGGAAUAUCUAUACAUUGAUUCUGACACAUGUGCUACAUUAUUGUAGGCUCAUUGCCAGAGGGGCUCUGGU